GGAGAGAUGGCCGAGUGGUCGAAGGCGCGCGACUCGAAAUCGCGUAAGUCCCAAAAGGGCUUCGAGGGUUCGAAUCCCUCUCUCUCCG
rnacentral:tRNA from 1 species